UCUUUCGUUCUCUUGUGUGUUCCCCAUGUUAUACAUCCAGCAAGGCAAAGUGUCGUGGCUUAUGGAGCUAAACUCUGAUGUUUAACAAAGCACCGUAAUGAGUGGGAAAGUCUGGAUAUUGAUCACUGCAGUUUCAUUCAUCACCCAUGUUUACCAUGUCCAGUCCAAGUGCAUGAAGCAAGACAUUAAGGCACAUCUGGAUGAGCUGAUGUUGGAAGAGCACGUGUUUCAGAUGAAGGUGUUCUCACCUGAAACGAAGGAACGUGAGCUUCUAUCAGUAAUAAAUACCCUCUGUUCAUACUGGACAAAUAAUAAGGGCAAGGAUAAAUUAAAAGUUGUACAAACUUUUCACAUAAUGCUGUAUAAUCUAGAUGAAAAAUUCAAAGACUUUUGUGCAAAUCUCAACUGCACGGAUGCUUACACAGUACGCGGCAUUGACACAGCCACAUUUGGAGAAAUGUAUAAAGAAUCUUGCAAUGGAUCAGUAUCAGACCUGAAGUGUCCAUCAAAGAGCGCACCUUUAACAACGAUCAGCCCAACUCCUGAAUUCAGCACAGCAUUUUUAACAACGGUCAGUUUAAUCACCACAGAUCAUGAAAGUAAGCAAAUUCAAUAUUGUGUUUCAUAUUCACAUCAACACAGAUUACAGCACAGAUACUUUAUCUGCCACGUUAAUCAGAGUUUUUUGACAUCAAACCACGUUUUCUAUUCACAUAGGCUUAACAUCUUUAACAACAUUGGUCAGCCCAAAC
rnacentral:lncRNA from 1 species